CAUCAAAUUGGAUGACUUGGGAUG
rnacentral:miRNA from 1 species